rnacentral:lncRNA from 1 species
GAUGUCUUCACCGCGAAGCUCAACUUCAUCAUCCUCCCCUCCGUCUUCCCUCCCCAACGGCGUCACCACUGGAGCAAACAACCCUAACCGUGAAGAGCCUACGGUGACGUCGACCCAACAACCCAACUCCGACGCCACCACUGGAGCAAACAACCCUAACCGUGAAGAGCCUGCGGUGACGUCGACCCGACAACCCAACCCCGUUGCUGUUCCGUCGCCCCACCGUUGCCACGACCCAAAUGCUGAAGUGGUAGCGUUACGUCCAAGGACGUUCUUAGCGGCGGGCAUAUGCGAAUUGUGCGGCAAAGAAUUUACACAAGAACAGAUUCGAGACUUUUAACAGGUGAGAACCCCACAAUCCAUAAAGGAGACAAAAGUGAGUAGAAGUGGAAAUGCGAGUAAUGCUAUAAGCGUAAAAAUGUUUGCAAAAUAAAGUUAUAUCUAAGCUUGUUUAUACCAUCUUUUCUAUUUAAACUAUGUAUCUUCUUUCUUGGUAAUAAUGUUUGUUUCCUUUUGAUAAUUUCCGUUUUCAAUGAUGUUGCUCGUAUUAUUGAUCAUAUCAAAUGAGAGUACAUUAAAACUAUAGUGUGACAAGUAAUUUCAAGCCCAGAAACAAAUAAUUUUUUUUGAGUUCACGUAGAAGAAGAGGACGAGAAACAUUUAUUGUGAAAUAUUGAAGGCGAAAAACAUUUAGAUGAUGUGACAAGUAACCUCGGUUCCUUUUCGAGAACAAGAACAACCACCAUCCCCAUUAUCAAUAUAUUCAACACUAUCUGUAGCAAGUAAUCUCGGUCAAUUGGAAUGUGAGUGACGUUUCAACGGUUAUUCGACGUUUAAGUUAGAUUAAGAAACCCACUGAUUGGCCGGAGAACCAAAUAUCAUGAGACAAAAUAAAUAUGUUGUUUAACUUGUUUUAGAUGAUGUAUAACUUAACUAACAAUGGGCUUUUACAUUUAGACAUUUCCUACGCAUACCAAAUCAGAUUAAUAUACUGUUAAUGAAUAAGCUAACAUCUUCAAUUUGAUAUUUUCAAUGGACAAAUCAUACUCUUUUGUUAUCUUAAAUGUAACGAUAAGAAAAUAAUAAAUUGGAAAAUAAUGAUCAUCCCACUGAAGAACGGCAGAUCCCAUGCUACUCUCUCUCUUCAGCUGAUCCUUAAACAACAGCAGUUAUCUCUUCUUGCUCUGAUAUAGCUCUUAGUAAAUUUAAUCUGUAAAAUUCCAAUAUGACCGAGAUUAAUAUGGAAUUCAGUCUCAGAAAUAAAUAUUAUACAUGUGAUAUUCUAGUUAUUUAAUAAAUGUACGUAUACAUACACUAGGGCAUGAUACUUUGUUAAUUAUGCUCCAUCAGUUUCUUGAAUAUGUAUGUUUAAAGAUUUUAUUUUGUUUCACAAAGUUGAAUGUAUUCAAUUUUCUAUGCAUAAGUGAUGUUUCAUUUCCUAAUUGACUCAAACCAAUUUCAACAAAAUAUAAAUCUUAGUUAUAAUAACAAACAAAUUUAGUAAUAGACUGAAGUUAAAUCUGGUACUGCAAAUGAUUUACUGAAGUGUGUAGAACCCCAAAACACACAAAACUAGCUAGGUUAAUACUUGUGCCUUGAUGAACAUAAUAUAUCAACUUAAUUUUAUAUGUUAUCUAUUUUUACAUGUUAUAAAAUAAUAAAUAUAUAUUGAAUAAUUAAAAAUCAGUAACUAUUACAUAUAUAAUUAAAUUGGUGCGAACAUAUAAAUCAAUUUUAUUAAUCCAAACAAUAUUUUUUUCUAUUUGAUAGGAUAUAUAAUUAAAUUUAAAAUAUAUUAACAUACAUAGUAUAUUUUUAAUAUUAGUGUCUAUUAAAUGAUGUUUUCUACUCAUAUGUUUUUUUUGAUCAUUUGUAUCUUUUUAUAGCAAAAACUUUAAAUUAUUGAUAACAAAAAAUUAUUGUGGGAUUAAUAGUUUUAGUAAUUUAUAAUUUUUUAAAAAUUAAGUUGUCAAUGUUUGUUCAAAGCUUUUAUCAAAAAAAAAAUUUUAAAGUAAAUUUCAAAAUUAAAAUAUUUAUGCAUUUUAUAUAUAUGGUUUUGAAAAUUUAAAAUAAUAAUAAAUUGGACCUGAAAGCAAUUUCAAAAAAUUGUUCAAAGUAAAUUUCAAAAUUAAAAUAAUUAAUUAAAUAAGGUUUUUUACUUAUAUGAUUUUGUAAUCAUUUGUAUUUUGUCAUAACAAAAAAAUUAAACCAUGAAUCACAAAAUUUGAACGUGAGAUUUUAACAGUUUUAGUAAUUUAUAGCUGUUUUUUAAAUUCAAAUAUAACAUAUACAAAAAAAAUUUGAAAUUUUAUUAUAUGGUUAGUGUGACUGUGUUAAUUUAUUUUGAUAGUUUAAAAUUAAACAAAUAUGAUAGAAGAUACACUAAUUUUUAUCAAAUAUUUAUUAUUCAAAAUCAUUAAUUGACGUAUAUACUUUAGCCAUAUUAGACAAUUCCGUAACUUUUAUUUAAGAAAAUAAUACAGAACAUGAAUUAUGAAUUAUGGUUAGUUUAAUAAAAAGUUUAUUAUAUAAUUAGAUGAAUCAACAUAUUAUUCUAAUGAUUCUAAAAAUCAUCAUAUUGAUGACACGUGUCUAUAAAAAAGUUGUAAUGUUUCUCAAUUAAUAUAUAAAUGAUAUAUAGAAACGAAAUGAAAGGAGAAUAAUUUAACUUACCGUUACUCUGGAGAAGAUCGGCCUUACUGAUCGCUGAAUUCUUCUUAUUUGGUAUCGGCAAAUGCUCGUAUCAAGUACAAUCCCAUCUUUUGAUUAAUAGUUGACCAAUGAUUCAAUGACUAUGAGGAAGACCUAAAAGGUUCAACAACUAAUUGCCACAGCAACAACCAUGGUAGAAACUUCCUUUUAUUGAUGAGAUAAAAUAAACAUAAAUGUCAUAAAAUUUGAACUUUCACACGGUUAAGUUUUGAUUAAUAGCUGACAAUGAGUCGAUGACCAUGAAGGGCUAAACUAUGUACCGUCUUUCUUAGUUUCUUUCAAAUAUUUGUACCGCCUUUGCCGAUGUGACUGUCCUACCAGUUUGUCUAUAUAAACUAAUGUACCUUCGUAGUUUCUUUCAAUGAUAUUUGUUUCCUUUAGAUAAUUUCCGUUUUCAAUGAUGGUGUUCAUGUUACUGAGCAUAUGAAAUGAGAAUACAUCAAAACUAUAGUGUCAAAAUUACUUUCAAGCACUGAAAAAAUAAUUUUCUUCAGUCUAAUCUAAAAAUGAACAUAUAUAACUAGUAACAAUGAUGUAUUAACUUCUAUUCAUGACCGGCUUAUAUGACAAAACAUCUUACUAAAGAUUAGAAAAAUAUUACUAGCAUUGAAAUGUAAAUUAUUGUAUACAACAAACUAGACACUAAAUCAGCUACAUAAUUAGUAUUUGUAUUAAAAGGUUUAUUUUGUAAAAAGAUAACUGGAAAAUAAAAUAAGUAGUCUAAAAUUAAAUUUAAGCUGAAGAGUAAAAAAAGUGAACAUUCUGUUUGAAAUUCAGAGAAAAAUUAUAAGUUUUAGGGAUUAUAAUGGUUUAAAUUUUGCAGUAUUUGGUAGAUAUAAUAAUAAGAUGUCAACUACUUUAAUAAUUCUCCCAAAAUGCAUGACCGAUAAAAGUCGUAAUAAAACCUGUAAGCACAAGUUUUCAACUUUCAUCUUCGAUUACACACAACUUGUUUUCAGUAAUGUUUAAUAACUUAUGUAUUGAUCUCACUCUCUGGUUCUAACAAUCUGAACAUGUCAAAGAGAUCAGAGAACUAAUGAAACUCAUUUCAGGUUUAUCAAACACACGAAAAAGCAGUUAAUGGGACUUUGUUGUUGACAUGUUGACCGAAGUUAGCCCGUUUACAUAUAUCCUCUUUUAAAUUCUGGUUAGGUAUUUAAAUUUCUCUCUGGUUUAGUGUUGAUUAGUAGCUGACCAAUGAGUCAAUAUGACGAUGAGGAAUGGCAAGAAGCUACAACAACUCGCUAGCAACAACCAUGGAAGAAACAAUUAUAGAAACAUCUAAGAAUAAUUUUUUUUAAAGAAAUUAGGGGAACUGAAAAAACUGCAGCUAUAUAUAUUGAGAAUCUACAAGUCUCAGUUCCAUUUACUAAAAGAGCAGAGCAACAAAGCAAGAAAGAAAAACAAAGCCAUACAACAAAAAUUUCUUUGAGGUAUUUCGGUGUGCAUAUGUUUAUAUUUGUAAAUUAUUUGGUCUCUUUGUUCUUGUUAAUUUCUUGUAUUUAUAUAUGUUUUCUUCUUUUCCUGUCAGUCUCUAUGGUUACUUCAUGUUCUUCUUAUUAUUUGCUUCGGUUUUCUUCUAAAUCAUAUUUCAUUUAUAUAUUGUAUUUCUUUUUUAAAGUAUUUUAUUAAUAGAUCUUUGUUGAUUAAGCAAAAAGCAGACCCUGAAAAGAUGUCUUCAUCGCACAACAACUCAACUUCAUCAUCCUCCACUCCGUCUUCCCUCCCUGCCGGCGCCGCCACUGGAGCAAACAACCGUAGCCGUAAAGAGCCUGCGGUGACGUCGACCCAACAACCCAACUCCGUUGCUGCUCCGUUGGACCACCGUUGCCGCCACCCAAAUGCUGAAGUGGUAGCGUUACGUCCAAGGACGUUCUUAGCUACGGGAAAAUGUGAAUUGUGCGGCAAAGAAUUUACACAAGAACAGAUUCGAGAGUUUUAACAGGUGAGAACCCCACAAUCCAUAAAGGAGACAAAAGUGAGGAGAAGUGGAAAUGCGAGUAAUGCUAUAAGCGUAAAUCUGUCUGCAAAAUAAAGAUAUAUCUCUAAGACUUGUUAUACCAUCUUUUCUAUUUAAACUAUGUAUCGUCUUUCUUGGUUUCUUUCAAUAAUGUUUGUUUCCUUUUGAUAAAUUCCGUUUUCAGUGAUGUUGUUUGUAUUAUUAAUUAUAUCAAAUGAGAGUACAUUAAAACUAUAGUGUGACAAGUAAUUUCAAGCCCAG